rnacentral:rRNA from 1 species
AAACCAGCACCUCAAGUGGUCAGGAUGAUUAUUGGGCCUAAAGCAUCCGUAGCCGGCUCUGUAAGUUUUCGGUUAAAUCUGUACGCUCAACGUACAGGCUGCCGGAAAUACUGCAGAGCUAGGGAGUGGGAGAGGUAGACGGUACUCGGGAGGAAGUGGUAAAAUGCUUUGAUCUCUCGAUGACCACCUGUGGCGAAGGCGGUCUACCAGAACACGUCCGACGGUGAGGGAUGAAAGCUGGGGGAGCAAACCGGAUUAGAUACCCGAGUAGUCC